GAAUUUUGCGCAAUGGACGAAAGUCUGACGCAGCAACGCCGCGUGAGGGAUGAAGGCCUUCGGGUUGUAAACCUCUUUUCUCAGGGACGAUGAUGACGGUACCUGCGGAAUAAGUCACGGCCAACUACGUGCCAGCAGCCGCGGUAAUACGUAGGUGGCUAGCGUUGUCCGGAUUUACUGGGCGUAAAGAGCGCGCAGGCGGUCGUUCAAGUCGAGUGUGAAAGCCCCCGGCUCAACUGGGGAGGGUCACUCGAUACUGAUCGACUUGAAGGCGGGAGAGGGAAGCGGAAUUCCCGGUGUAGUGGUGAAAUGCGUAGAUAUCGGGAGGAACACCAGUGGCGAAGGCGGCUUUCUGGCCCGUUCUUGACGCUGAGGCGCGAAAGCUAGGGUAGCAAACGGG
rnacentral:rRNA from 1 species